ACUUGAAAAUAAAAUGAUAUAAUCUUCUUUAAUUAAAUCGAAUUCCUUUCCGAUAAGUAAAAAUUACAAAAAUUUCCAUAAAAUUUCAACUUCAGUAUAAUAGGAUCAUCUUUAUAAAUCUUCAUUUCCUAUCUAAUCUUCGAAUCUUUAUGUUCUAUCUACCAAAUAAUUUCCUUACUCCAAUACUUUAUUACAAUAUCAAAUCUUUACGUAAAUAAAAUGCAAAAUUACUACAAUCCUCUUCGAAUCAUAUUCGAUCCAAUCGCGUUUCGUUAUCAUCAAAAAUUAUUUGAUCAAAAAAAAAGUCUCCCAAUUUCUCGCUUCACUUUUAUCUCAAAAUUUCUUCAUUCAAAUUCAAACAACACAACAACAAAUAAAAAAAUUCUUCUCGAAUCUUUCCGAUCGUGCAAAGUUUAAAAUCGAGUCAUCUUUAAAUGCAAAAAGAGAGGAAAAAAAGAAAGAAGAAAAAAAGGAAAAAGAUUGCUAAACGGCAAUUUCAUCGUGAACGGAAAUGACAAAUCGUAGAUACGUCAAGGUACCGGAGGAGGAAAGAAUUUGCAAGAAGAUUAUCGCGAUUUCGAUACGGUCGAAGAUUGUUUCCUUUCGUCACACCUGAGCAUACGCCGCGUUUCCAUCGAAUUCGCCUCGGAGGGAACCGUGUUCGAAGCAACAGCUGCCGGCCGAUCCCUUCCUCCUCCGAGAAUUAAAACGAGACCCAGUUGCCAAAGAAGGGAGCGUCCCUCGACGAAACCCACCGGCCAUGGUACACUUAUCCUUUCGCCUCGAAUCACCUUUAUAACCAUCCUAAUAUUUCUAGGUUGACCGCACGAUACAGAUACGGGGAAUCGCCGAGUCUAUUCUUGUUGCGCGUUGUACUCUUUCAUAACAUCGAACAGUAGUAUGACGUAGUUAUGCUUUACGGGAGUUCAUUCAUGACGUUUGGGUUAAAUUAACGUUUCACUGCAAAUGUUUGGAUGAUACGUUGUUUGGAAAAAUAUAAAAAAAAGCAUUGGUAUAUUGUCAUCAUAAAAAUAACAUUCGGCUGCAUUUAUCUUCAAAACGUGUUAAAAAGUGAAAUCGUAUCGUCGUUAAGUAAAAAAAGGAAAAAAAACACUUUACUAAUGAAAAGGGAAAAGAGGCAAUCUCAAUUUUCCUAAUUAGUAAUUGAUAAAAAAAACUGGAACAGAAUCGUGUCAUCCUCGAAUAUGGUAUUGAUACGACGAAAAAUAACUCGAUUCUCAAAAAAGAAGAAAGAAAAAGAAACGGUAUGUUCAUCUUCGUAUCAAACAAGAAGGGAGGGGGAAAAAAUGGAGCGAAAUACAAAGGGUUUGUUGUACAUUGGUUUCGAACUUGUUCUUUUUUUUUUUUUUUUUUUUUUUGUUUCUUUUCUUGAAACAAUUAGCGAGCAACUAAUCUGAAGGACGCUCAUUAUUGCAGAGAAACGUAUGUUCAAUACGAAGAUAUCCUUAUCGCUAUUGGAAUGCAAUGGUUGGUUCACUAUUUUUUUUUUCUUUUUUUUAUUGAUACAAUGACGUUUAUCCAACGAACUGAAAAAAGAAAUCGAGAUUCGUCAUGUUCUAAUAAUGAAAAGAUCUUUGAGAGGUAAUUUUUUUUUUCAAUUUUUUACGAUUAUAAUAUAAGAUACGUUAUCAGUGUGUGUGCGCUAUGUCUCGCACAAUUUAUUCUAAAUUUGUACCAAAAUUAAUCAUUGCCAGAAAUUGGCGCACAAUAUUAAUUGCGGAGUGACGAGGAGAGUUCAACGAUAGUAUCAUUAUCGGUAUUUCAUAUUCAUCCCACGAAUCUUUUAUAAUUAUUAGGUCAAUCAUUUCUAUCAUUUCUUGCUGUUACAAGUGUGAAAUAGCAAAAAUUGCAGAGAGUAAUUAUUAUUCAAACUUGUGAUAAGCUUGUCCAGUUAUUAUUACUCAAUCAUAUUAUUCAUCGAUAAAAUUGUUAUUCAUAUUCUAAUACGAAACAUUGCACGUACGUAUAACGACAAAAGAGAUGAUAAUAGGAUUCUCGUUAUUCGAUAAAUACAAUAUGAAUAUAAUGUAUGAUAAUCAAGGCACAAAUAGUUCGAGAUAAAUGUUCGUUGAAUCUUUCUUAAUUUUUUUUUUUUUUUUUUUAUCAAAUAGACAACAUUCUUCAAAUAAAAUUUUCAUUAUCUAUUAUUAUUUAAUUUACUAAUUAUUUAAUAAAAAAUAUUACGCUUUCGAGAAUCCCAAGAAACAUAAUCUCGAUAAAACGUUCCUUUUUUUGUUAAUUUCCAAAAGUCACGCGAUUACUUUUAAUUCUAAUCAGAAAACACGGCGCACCCUUAUGAUAUAUUUUUCGAGAGAAUUCUAAUUUCAAUUCCCGUGUAUCGUCCCCCACGAUACACCAUAAGGGAAGCAUGUUUCGUUACAAAAUAGACAUAACAAUUAUAGCCACGUGUUUCCGUGAACCAAGUGCGAUGAAUGUGCGGCAUUAUACUUGAGGCCUAAAAAUAGGCGUGCUUCAUCCCCGCGCGGAGGAUAUCUGCAUUAGCCACCGGAAACACUAUAAAGUGGUUUCCGUUUUAGGAACGAAUGGCUGAAGGCGAUCUCGAGGAACACUCCUCUCUCCUUACCGCUAUAUAUUUUCUUCCCAGGUUGCUUUUACAAUCGAUGUUGGUGGAUUAACGAUCGUAGACAGAUUCUUCCAGCCUCCUUCGAGGAAUUCUCACGUCCGCUGACCUUUCUUCCGUCGUUCGAAUCUCCGCGCGUGGAUCUUCGUUUCGUGACUGACGAAAUAGAUGGACGAACGAAAUAAUCCUUAGAUAUUUUUUUUUCAACAUAAAUAAAUAUACAAGUUGAAUGGAGUACAGAUAUAUAAUAAGGGAGAAUUAGAAGAAAAAAGAUUAGUCCAAUCAAAUGAGUCUGAGCUUUUAAGAGCUUUUAGAGAAGAAAAAAGAAAGAAAAAUCAAAGAAAUGGAAGAAGAGAAGAAUUUUCAAUUAUAAUUGUUGAACGAUCGUGGAAUUUUUCUUCGUAUAAUUUCUUCCAAAGUUAUCGUUCCGUUUUUUCCACUCUCGCAAUUGCGAUUUAAAAUGGCGAAUUACGAAGAACAUGUUAGCAACGUAAAUUUGUGCACAAAUCAUUAGUUGACACGUGAGGCCGAGCAUGGUAAUAGAGGCGAAGGACACCAGCACAGUGCAAUACAAAUUCUCAGUUCGAGCGACUCGCGAUACUGGGCUCGUUGGAAUAUCCUGCAUCUGCAUUCUGAUCCUCGUUCUUUUUCGCCGGAGAAUAUAUUCACAGGCCAUCUCGACCGAGCAACCGAUUCGUCUGAUUCACCUUGAGAGAUGUUGCACGAAGAAAUCUCGAUAGAAUGUAACAGGCUGAAAGCCCGUUAGUUUGAUGCGCCAUCGACCGAAUCGAUCAUCUAUACGUGACUAAUCAUAAACUCAUAGACGAAUAAGAAGGUUACGAAUGGAUUACGUGUUUUGAAAUUUUUUAAUCUGUGAUAAUUUACAUAAUUACAACUAAUACUGACACAAUUUUUUUCAGGAAGAAAUUCUCUAAAAUUUAAUGGAAAACAUAAAGUUUCUCUUAUAUCGCUUUCGUGAUAUAAUUAUUUUUUUUCUAAAUAAAGCGUUUCAAAAUUCGAUCAUCGUCGUUGAUAGAUGCAAAGUGGUAUUUAGAGAGAAGAUCACCUCAAGAUCCCAUAAUCGUGAAGUCUGUAGUUGUUGGGAGUAAAGUGUGGUGAUAAAGUUUAAGUGCAUGGGUUCCAUGAAACUUUCUCUUGCCCGUGACUCAUAGCCCGAGACGUUACAUAGUUUCUUCCUUAUGUCAUAUCUUCGUCAGUUAUCAAUUUAACCGAACGUUAAUUAUCGACGAUGAUGAUUUAUUACUUAAUCGAACACCAACGAGACGUGUUACGAAAUCGUGUUUCCAAUCGAACGAUAUGGAAAUGAAGUUUUACUUUUCGCGCGAGCCAAUUCAAUAGGGAAUUGGUUCAACUUGAGAUUUUUAUCAGCGCUCGUUUUCCAUCUCCAACUCUUGCAUAUUGCGUUUUCUCUUUUUAGAUUUUUCCACGCGAAGAUAUAAUCAUCCCAUAGCAAGAUUUCUGACGGAUUAAUUAAACCAGUCCAUAUGCCGGCGAAAAAUGACCGAGUUACGAAAGACCUUAAGAAUCGACGCGUUCUUCCCCCUCGUGGCCUUGCGCUCCUUCAAAUUAACAAUCUCCGAUUCCCACGAACGGUGGAGGGAAUUUCACGGUCGAGAAACAACCGUGAACUUCGCUUCAGACGCGAUCAAUUUCCAUCCACGGGACGAAAUCUUGUAUGCUCAUUAGUGCGGAAAUCGCAUUAAUAUUAAUGAAUCUCUUUUUGCUCUAAUAUCUCGUCGAGGUAUGAAUUUAUGAAGGAUGGGGGGAAAAAAAAGAAAAAGAAAUGAAAAAUCAGAAACAUGUUGGUCCUCAUCCGCUCCGAUGAGGCUUGGAACAAUACUCUUGUUUGUCGAAGUGGCCCAUCAAUAUAGGUUAUCGCGAUGCUUCCAAAUGACAACGUGAGUCAUGGAUGAAUCAUCGUAAUCAAAAUUUUUCACGCAAUGCAAGCCGAGCUUUCAUAAAUUUAUUAUUUAAAUUCUCUCUCUUUCUCUCUCUGUGAGAAAAUCUGUAUUAAAAGUUUUUCUCUUUUUCCUAAUAAUUUCAAUUCGUUUAAUCAAAAUUGCGCGGAAUCCGGACAGAUUGAAAUCUUGAGAUCAUCGGUUUUGUAUUCGAACAAGGGUGACGCAAAUUUAAUAGGCUCAGUUGAAAUAAAGUGGCGAAAUGGAUUAAACCAAUGUCCCGUAACGAUUGUAUAACCGUGCAAUCGUACUUACGUUGGACGGUAAAUCAACUUACAAAGUUCCACAUACGAUAAGUAUUGACGGUGUCUUACCUGUUCGGGCUUCAUCUCGUUUAGAGAUCCUUAUAUGGCCUGCAACCUUCGAGCAGGCUCACGUUUGAAAAUACACAAUUAUUUAUCUCUGUUGUGGAAUCAUGUUGCGGAAUUACGCAAUCAUGACGACUCUUGAAGUGGGUCAACGAUUUUUCUGAAUAUAAAAUGCGAUUUUUUUCCUUUCUUUUUUUUUUUUUAAAUAUUUAACUCGUCAAUAAAAUUAGAUGUUUAAUUUCUAAGAGAGCCAUCUUUCGAAACUCUACGAUGGAGAUGAAUCGAACACGAUAAUCGUAAAUUCUAAUGCUUCAGGAAUGUUUAGAUUUUUAUAUAUAUAAUAAAAAGUAUGUUAGAUCGAACGAAAAGAAGAGAUAGAAAUACGUCGAAGGAAAUUGCGAUUGAAAGAAAAAAUGAAGAAAAUUUGAUUAAUAAAUGAAUCUGUAUUAGAAAGUGGAUCGUUCAUGUUUAAAUGAAUCUAGAUUGAAAAAAGUGAUCGUUUAUCGUUUAAGGAAAAUCGUUAUACGAUCGAGGAGAAAAAAAAAUCUUUUAUCAGAGAUUUCGACAUCAAUAUGGAAACUUGUCAAACAAGGGACAAUCUUUAAAUGCAGUUCUCCUUGUGCUCGCGAUCAAGGUGAUUCGAUUUAAUCAUGCGCGAUUAUUUCGUUUCUUUUUUUUUUUUUUCCUCUUGAUUCUCGUGAUGAAAUAUCCUCUUUCGUAUUUUUACAUAUUUCCAUUGUCAUGUGACAUUACUGAAUUAAAUGUAAAAAAUUGAAAAGCACAAUUCGAUGUGUAAUCGAUCUGUAAUUAUUAUUACAUUGGUGAUUUGAAACUUCCAACAGGUGCAAAAUUUAAACAGUUUCAAGCUUUGAUAUCAGCUCGAUAUCAAUUUGAUAUUUAUUCUCUAAUAAUUGAUUGAUAGUUUUCUAAAAAAUUGUAUGGAUUCAAAUCUUUCUUAUCAUUUAAUCGAUAAGUAAUAUAAAUGUAAACUUGAAAACUUAUCGUUACACCGAUAAAUAUCAUCGAUAUUUAUUCAUAUCGAUCGAUUGCUCAAUCAUCUUAAUCAUCUUAUUACCGCAAGAAUUGUUAUUAAUGAAAAAAUAAUUCGUUUCAAUCUAGUAAAAAUUGGCAGCUUCUUCAUAAUAGAAAACUCCUAUCAAAUAAAUUGAAUACAAUGACAUUAUCCAUCUGUAUAAAAUAAAAUCUGCAAUAUAAAAUAUAGUUAUUAAAAUUAUAAAAAAUUCAAAGAGGAUUUCGAAUUAAUUAUCUCGAUUUAUCUCGUCGAUCAAAUGAACAAGGUAUCGUUACUUGUCCAAGUUCGCAAGUUGGUUAACAACGUUAAUUCUACGGCCAAUAAAUUAAUCUAAGUGUACUCUGUGUAACAAGGAAAACGAUUUUGCUGGCGGCAGCAUCUUGGUGAAGAGCAAUUCCUUCAAUUUGCCCACUGGUUCAUUGAUAGCCAAGCCUUUGACCCAUUUUUCAUGACCGUGAACGAGCUAGGGAGCCAUUAAAAGCGUCAUUGUCACACAACUACUAGAAAGACACGAAACGAUUCUUUAAUUGCAAACACUUGCCCUGCUAACCGACGUACACUUAUGCUUGGAACAGUCUACGAUACAAGUAAGUAAUUUUUUUUUGCAAAAUAUGUAUUUUUUUUCGAUAAUAAAAAGCUUAAUAAAGCUGAACAUUUAAAGUCAGUCGAUAAAUUGAUGUUAUUAUUAUUAAAUUGGAUACAAUAUAUAUCAUUUUUUGAAUUUAAAUUUCAAGUUUCAUUCAUAAGGGAUAAAAGUAAUUUUUAAAUAUUUUGAUUACUUAUUAGAUAUUUUAAUUAUUUGAUAAAUAAUUACUAUUGAUAAAUAGAGACGAAAUAAAACUGGGCAGCGUCAUUUCAAGUUUCCCGAGAUAUCUAAUCGAACAAAGAUCAGUGAUCAAAUAGAAUUAUUCAAAUCCUAUCGAUUAUCGUGUUAUUGAUAAUUGCAUAUUUUUCCAUCAAAAUAUAUUUAUUAAAUUUACUAUCGAUGUAAAAGUUCUUCGAACAAAGAAAAGAAAUGGCAUCUAAAUUUGAGGAACGAGCGUACUUUUCUGAAGUGGCACAAAUCAGAAAGAGAAGAAAAAUUAUAUCUGCGAGGAUUCAGCUGCAACCCCGCAUAAUUUUGAAUAGAAUAAAUUCCACACCACACCCUUCAAACUCGUUUGAGAAGAUCUCGGCUUCAACAUUUUGUGUGGUAUGCAAUUGGGCAAAGGUAACUUUCUUGAAAUUUAAUGCGACAAAAAGCAUUAUCAUAUUCGAUUAUUUUUUUUUUUUUAUAUAAAUAUUUAAAAAAUUCUUCGUUACAAAUUCGAGGAACAAAAUGAUCAAAGAAUUAAGUUUAUCAAAAUUUAUUAACAUUGAAAGUUUUAUUCUCUCAUAUUUAAUAAUGUAAUAAAUAUAAAAAAGAAAGACAUAACGAUACAUACAUAGAAAUAUAACUAGGACGGAGAAAAUCGCAAAGCAACUAAUGAUGUGUUCGUAUGCAAAUGGGCUCUCAAA
rnacentral:lncRNA from 1 species